AUUCCUUUGGAAAAUUUCAACUGAUUGAGUAUUGAGAGGAAUCAGAGAGGCCGAGAGCGAAAAUGGUCGGUUUCAACACAGGGCUUGUGAUCUGGCUAAUUUAGGUGUUGAUUAUUUUACUGUGCAUCAAAUCCAAUCCCAAAGAUACUCUCGCAGUGGUUUACAUGUUGAGUGGCGGUGAAAAUGAGAAAAUUUAUCAAGAUUUUCAAUUAUUCGAUCGAAAUUAUAUUUAUUGAAUGUAUUCAAAAUUUAUAUAAAAAAUGUUAUUGAUUAUAUUUAUAUAUUUUAUCAAAAAGGUUGGGAUAUUACAAUUGGUAUCAGAGUCGCUCUAUUGCAAACUUGAACGAUGGUGGAGCAAGCCUAAGUGAGGACUCAGAGUCCCUAACAGGGAGUGUAAUGUGACACCCUAGGCGAAUCUCAUAUUAACAUAACACGGGAGAGAUGUUAGGUAUGAUUGAAAUCCCGAACUUUAUUAUGACAUGUCUUCCUAUACGUAUUUUCAGAUUUCGUAUAUUGUCUAUUAAGUUAAAAGAGUUUUAAUAAUACAUUUACGCACACGUAUAUGAAUGUAAUUUUCAUAAGGUUAUCCAAGAAACUUUUCGUGGUUUUGACUGCAACAUAUUUUGGUAUUUUGAUAAUUGAUUAAUUAAUAUUUAUAUGAGAUACGCUUGAAUCAUAAACUUUCCAUGUGUCAACAAUUUGCUAAGCUUAGUCAUUGUGGGUAAUGGGUAAUAUUUGAUUUUGUGUCACCGCCUUAGACUCCUCAUUUAUUUUUGCCAUUCCCCCUGCUCGUCUAUUUUCAUUCCUUUCGCAAAUUUCAAGACUAAGUAUUAAGAGGAAUCAGAGAGGCCGAGAGCGAAAAUGGUCGGUUUCAACAUUCGGGGUGAUGUGUGUCAGAUGUACUAGACGAUGAAACGGUCUUGACAGUUAAACUGCCGAAGUUCUACCCACGGGCGCAUGACUUGUACACCUUGAACUUACGAAUUAGAAGGAGCGGCCAAUCAGCAAACUCAAGCAGUAUGCAGUUGAGCUGCUAGUCAACUUGCACGAGAUGCAAGUAACUCGGCUAUGCAAUCGAGUGUCAAUAGAACCUCAACCCUAAAACCGAAGUGAAGAGACUUUUCGAUCCUUGCCCGGAAGUGAGAAACAGUGGAGAGGAUGGAAGCGAGAGCUCUUGAUGUAAGAUGAAAUGUGCAGUAUGAGAGUCUAGCUAUUCAGAUGCAUGUGCGGGAAGGUAAAUAUUGGAAGAGCAUGCUGCGAGAAAAGAGAUACUGAAAGGUGCAAAACAGGUAUUGCGAUAUUGAAGAAUAACGCGGAAUUGAAAUGACAA